CCUACGGGGGGCAGCAGUGGGGAAUAUUGGACAAUGGGGGCAACCCUGAUCCAGCCAUGCCGCGUGUGUGAAGAAGGCCCUCGGGUUGUAAAGCACUUUCAGUGAGGAAGAACGCCUGGUGGUUAAUACCCAUCAGGAAAGACAUCACUCACAGAAGAAGCACCGGCUAACUCCGUGCCAGCAGCCGCGGUAAUACGGAGGGUGCGAGCGUUAAUCGGAAUUACUGGGCGUAAAGCGCGCGUAGGUGGCUUGAUAAGCCGGUUGUGAAAGCCCCGGGCUCAACCUGGGAACGGCAUCCGGAACUGUCAAGCUAGAGUGCAGGAGAGGAAGGUAGAAUUCCAGGUGUAGCGGUGAAAUGCGUAGAGAUCGGGAGGAAUACCAGUGGCGAAGGCGGCCUUCUGGACUGACACUGACACUGAGGUGCGAAAGCGUGGGUAGCAAACAGGAUUAGAUACCCCGGUAGUC
rnacentral:rRNA from 1 species